AGAGUUUGAUCAUGGCUCAGGACGAACGCUGGCGGCGUGCUUAACACAUGCAAGUCGAACGGUAAGGCCCCUUCGGGGGUACACGAGUGGCGAACGGGUGAGUAACACGUGAGCAACCUGCCCUUGACUCUGGGAUAACAGUUGGAAACAGCUGCUAAUACCGGAUACGACCCUUGAUGACAUCAUCUGGGGUGGAAAGCGCUUUAGCGGUCAAGGAUGGGCUCGCGGCCUAUCAGCUUGUUGGUGAGGUAACGGCUCACCAAGGCUUCGACGGGUAGCCGGCCUGAGAGGGCGACCGGCCACACUGGGACUGAGAUACGGCCCAGACUCCUACGGGAGGCAGCAGUGGGGAAUAUUGCACAAUGGGCGCAAGCCUGAUGCAGCAACGCCGCGUGCGGGAUGACGGCCUUCGGGUUGUAAACCGCUUUCAGUUCCGACGAAGCGCAAGUGACGGUAGGAACAGAAGAAGGACCGGCCAACUACGUGCCAGCAGCGGCGGUAAUUC
rnacentral:rRNA from 1 species